GUGCCAGCCGCCGCGGUAAUACGUAGGGGGCAAGCGUUGUCCGGAAUUAUUGGGCGUAAAGCGCGCGCAGGCGGCUAUUUAAGUCUGGUGUUUAAACCUUGGGCUCAACCUGAGGUCGCACUGGAAACUGGGUGGCUUGAGUACAGAAGAGGAAAGUGGAAUUCCACGUGUAGCGGUGAAAUGCGUAGAUAUGUGGAGGAACACCAGUGGCGAAGGCGACUUUCUGGGCUGUAACUGACGCUGAGGCGCGAAAGCGUGGGGAGCAAACAGGAUUAGAAACCCUUGUAGUCC
rnacentral:rRNA from 1 species